ACCGCAUCAACUUCGCAGAUGUUUUUUAUGAAUUCGUUCUACUAAGCCUUCUAGAAGGAAAGACAUCUCUUCCUAUAUCUAAGCCUGGUAGCUUCCUUUAUCUGCUCCUGCAAGUCAUAAUGAGGAUUUACCCUCCUGGAGGAGCCUGGACAGAGGCUGCUGAGAACUUCUACCUCCUCGUUAAGGGCCAGAUGAAGGCAUGGCUAGAAUCCAUCUUCAACCUCAAUGACUCAAUCUAUGAAAGCCCAGAGAGGCUCUCGGGGGAGGUGAUGGGGAAUCUAGAAAUACAGGUUGAGUUCCUGCUGUCCAGCCUGGAUUAAGGUUCCCAAACUGAGCUGAGGGCCCCAUCACAAAAUAAAGUGUUUUGCAUUUAAA